UACGUAGGUGGCAAGCGUUGUCCGGAAUUAUUGGGCGUAAGCGCGCGCAGGCGGUCCUUUAAGUCUGAUGUGAAAGCCCACAGGCCUCAAACCGUGGAGGGUCAUUGGAAACUGGGGACUUGAGAUGCAGAAGGAGGAAAGCGGAAUUCCACGUGGUAAGCGGUGAAAUGCGUAGAGAUGUGGAGGAACACCAGUGGCGAAGGCGGCUUCUGGUCGUG
rnacentral:rRNA from 1 species